AACGUGUCUUCCAAACUUGGAUGUUUUCUUGAAAAAUGGGGGCUAAUAUAAAAAGAAAAUAAAACUCAUUUAAAGUUAUAUUCUUCUCCUCUAAAGCCAAAAUAAAAAAAAAUAAAUAAACAUAAGUCCCUCCCCAGUGCUUAAAUAAGAUAUUUGAUAUGCCUCCCCCCUGAAUAUUCAGGUCUAAUCCUGUUCUGACACUAUUUGUUUUAACAAUAAAUACUUUAAAGAUAAAAUACAAUAAUAAGUUAUCAGUUACAAGAUAAGCAAGAAAAAGAACAGACAGAUGAAAAUAUUUACAUCAGUUACACGCCGAUGAUAAAUGCAAUUGGGAAAAAUUGCACUUUAGUAUAAGGUGUUAUAUAGUAAUGAAAAAUUACCGAAAAGAAGUAUCAACAGUAUUCAGAGAAUCUGCGGUCUUGAAAAUCUGCCUCAAAAUCCUGGAAAUUUAUUGGAAAAAUCAGUAUGAAAGUAAAUUUCCGGUAAUGAUGCUGCAGCAUUAACAGCUUCCUCACCGCUCUCAUCACAAUAGUCUGUUCUCCUAGUUUAUUUUGUUUCUGUCGUGGCCGCUGCGUCUGACUGGUUUACGGUCUGUGCUGAUGACAGGGAGGAAUCUCCAACAUCCUGGAGGAGCUGGUGGUGCAGCCGUUACUGGUUUCCAUCAGCGCUCUGACUCUGUCCACGGAGACGGUCCGCAGCAUCCUCAAGAUCGACGACGUGGUCAACACUCGGUAAAGAGAGUCGAGUCUGUCCGGUUAGUUUUGUCCACAAAGCCUGCUCGCACGCGAGGGAUCAGAGGACUCUGUCGACGUCAGUUUGUUCAGAUUUCCACUGUAGUUGUUACAUUGCAUAAUUUAAUAAUAAAAAAAGGCUUCUUUUUUUGUUGACACUCCA